ACCCUGUGAGGAAGAAAGCCCAUGCAUAGGAAAUGUCAUUUGACACUUUAACAGCAGUGGAACA